UGCUGCUGUCGCUAGAGGGACUCAGGAAGCCGGAGUCGCAGGAGGCGGAGCUGUUGUCAGGUAGGGCGCCCAGGACACGCGAUUCCUGCCAGGGCCGUUGGGCCGAGGUGGACGGGGGGCGGUGGGGGCGUAGCGGGGGGGGCCUCUACUGCUCUCUCGCCCACGCCCCCGGGAUCGAGAACUCUGUUGGUGUGGAAAGUAACUAAUGGGCGCUCGAGGGGGAUGGGCGGGCCCUGCAGAGCACGUGGGAGGGUCUCCAGUGUCGCCUACUUCCUGCUGCACACACGCGAGGGGACCCUGGGUGGGCAAAAACGUGGUUUCUCGGACUGGGUUGAAGGGGAGAAAGGGAGAGGUCGGGCUUGGGGAGCUGCCUCCUGCGACUCAGCAGUUCCUCUGACCAUCCGAGGACCAUGUGGCCAACGGGUCGUCACGUCGCGCAUCGUGGGUGGAGAGGACGCCGAACUCGGGCGUUGGCCAUGGCAGGGG
rnacentral:sRNA from 1 species